rnacentral:rRNA from 1 species
UACGUAGGGACCAAGCGUUGUUCGGAUUUACUGGGCGUAAAGGGCGCGUAGGCGGCUUAACAAGUCACUUGUGAAAUCUCCGGGCUUAACUCGGAACGGCCAAGUGAAACUGUCAAGCUAGAGUGCAGAAGGGGCAAUCGGAAUUCUUGGUGUAGCGGUGAAAUGCGUAGAUAUCAAGAGGAACACCGGUGGCGAAGGCGGCUACCUGGACAUCAACUGACGCUGAGACGCGAAAGCGUGGGGAGCAAACAGG